GGGUUGUGAGGUUAAGCGACUAAGCGUACACGGUGGAUGCCCUGGCAGUCAGAGGCGAUGAAGGGCGUGCUAAUCUGCGAUAAGCGCCGGUAAGGUGAUAUGAACCGUUAUAACCGGCGAUACCCGAAUGGGGAAACCCAGUGUGACUCGUCACACUAUCAUUAACUGAAUCCAUAGGUUAAUGAGGCGAACCGGGGGAACUGAAACAUCUAAGUACCCCGAGGAAAAGAAAUCAACCGAGAUUCCCCCAGUAGCGGCGAGCGAACGGGGAGGAGCCCAGAGCCUGAAUCAGCAUGUGUGUUAGUGGAAGCGUCUGGAAAGGCGCGCGAUACAGGGUGACAGCCCCGUACACAAAAGCGCAUGUGCUGUGAGCUCGAUGAGUAGGGCGGGACACGUGGUAUCCUGUCUGAAUAUGGGGGGACCAUCCUCCAAGGCUAAAUACUCCUGACUGACCGAUAGUGAACCAGUACCGUGAGGGAAAGGCGAAAAGAACCCCGGCGAGGGGAGUGAAAAAGAACCUGAAACCGUGUACGUACAAGCAGUGGGAGCCCCACCACCAAAGCAUUUGCUGUACCGCGUUGACGGAGCGAAGCGACGUCAAACCGAUAAAACAGCAGUGUAAAGUGAGCCGCAGGGCGCUUUGCGCGACAGCGCAAAGGCAGGCGGUUUCGCGUAGCGAAAGCGAAUGCUUUGGGGUGGGGUGACUGCGUACCUUUUGUAUAAUGGGUCAGCGACUUAUAUUCUGUAGCAAGGUUAACCGAAUAGGGGAGCCGGAGGGAAACCGAGUCUUAAUUGGGCGUUAAGUUGCAGGGUAUAGACCCGAAACCCGGUGAUCUAGCCAUGGGCAGGUUGAAGGUUGGGUAACACUAACUGGAGGACCGAACCGACUAAUGUUGAAAAAUUAGCGGAUGACCUGUGGCUGGGGGUGAAAGGCCAAUCAAACCGGGAGAUAGCUGGUUCUCCCCGAAAGCUAUUUAGGUAGCGCCUCGUGAAUUCAUCUCCGGGGGUAGAGCACUGUUUCGGCUAGGGGGCCAUCCCGGCUUACCAACCCGAUGCAAACUGCGAAUACCGGAGAAUGUUAUCACGGGAGACACACGGCGGGUGCUAACGUCCGUCGUGAAGAGGGAAACAACCCAGACCGCCAGCUAAGGUCCCAAAGUCAUGGUUAAGUGGGAAACGAUGUGGGAAGGCCCAGACAGCCAGGAUGUUGGCUUAGAAGCAGCCAUCAUUUAAAGAAAGCGUAAUAGCUCACUGGUCGAGUCGGCCUGCGCGGAAGAUGUAACGGGGCUAAACCAUGCACCGAAGCUGCGGCAGCGACACUGUGUGUUGUUGGGUAGGGGAGCGUUCUGUAAGCCUGUGAAGGUGUGUCGUGAGGCAUGCUGGAGGUAUCAGAAGUGCGAAUGCUGACAUAAGUAACGAUAAAGCGGGUGAAAAGCCCGCUCGCCGGAAGACCAAGGGUUCCUGUCCAACGUUAAUCGGGGCAGGGUGAGUCGACCCCUAAGGCGAGGCCGAAAGGCGUAGUCGAUGGGAAACGGGUUAAUAUUCCCGUACUUGGUGUUACUGCGAAGGGGGGACGGAGAAGGCUAUGUUGGCCGGGCGACGGUUGUCCCGGUUUAAGCGUGUAGGUGUGUGUUCCAGGUAAAUCCGGUUCACUUUAACACUGAGGCGUGACGACGAGGCACUACGGUGCUGAAGCAACAAAUGCCCUGCUUCCAGGAAAAGCCUCUAAGCAUCAGGUAACAUCAAAUCGUACCCCAAACCGACACAGGUGGUCAGGUAGAGAAUACCAAGGCGCUUGAGAGAACUCGGGUGAAGGAACUAGGCAAAAUGGUGCCGUAACUUCGGGAGAAGGCACGCUGACACGUAGGUGAAGUGAUUUACUCAUGGAGCUGAAGUCAGUCGAAGAUACCAGCUGGCUGCAACUGUUUAUUAAAAACACAGCACUGUGCAAACACGAAAGUGGACGUAUACGGUGUGACGCCUGCCCGGUGCCGGAAGGUUAAUUGAUGGGGUCAGCGCAAGCGAAGCUCCUGAUCGAAGCCCCGGUAAACGGCGGCCGUAACUAUAACGGUCCUAAGGUAGCGAAAUUCCUUGUCGGGUAAGUUCCGACCUGCACGAAUGGCGUAAUGAUGGCCAGGCUGUCUCCACCCGAGACUCAGUGAAAUUGAACUCGCUGUGAAGAUGCAGUGUACCCGCGGCAAGACGGAAAGACCCCGUGAACCUUUACUAUAGCUUGACACUGAACAUUGAGCCUUGAUGUGUAGGAUAGGUGGGAGGCUUUGAAGUGUGGACGCCAGUCUGCAUGGAGCCGACCUUGAAAUACCACCCUUUAAUGUUUGAUGUUCUAACGUGGACCCGUUACCCGGGUUGCGGACAGUGUCUGGUGGGUAGUUUGACUGGGGCGGUCUCCUCCUAAAGAGUAACGGAGGAGCACGAAGGUUGGCUAAUCCUGGUCGGACAUCAGGAGGUUAGUGCAAUGGCAUAAGCCAGCUUGACUGCGAGCGUGACGGCGCGAGCAGGUGCGAAAGCAGGUCAUAGUGAUCCGGUGGUUCUGAAUGGAAGGGCCAUCGCUCAACGGAUAAAAGGUACUCCGGGGAUAACAGGCUGAUACCGCCCAAGAGUUCAUAUCGACGGCGGUGUUUGGCACCUCGAUGUCGGCUCAUCACAUCCUGGGGCUGAAGUAGGUCCCAAGGGUAUGGCUGUUCGCCAUUUAAAGUGGUACGCGAGCUGGGUUUAGAACGUCGUGAGACAGUUCGGUCCCUAUCUGCCGUGGGCGCUGGAGAACUGAGGGGGGCUGCUCCUAGUACGAGAGGACCGGAGUGGACGCAUCACUGGUGUUCGGGUUGUCAUGCCAAUGGCACUGCCCGGUAGCUAAAUGCGGAAGAGAUAAGUGCUGAAAGCAUCUAAGCACGAAACUUGCCCCGAGAUGAGUUCUCCCUGAGACUUAGAGUCUCCUGAAGGAACGUUGAAGACGACGACGUUGAUAGGCCGGGUGUGUAAGCGCAGCGAUGCGUUGAGCUAACCGGUACUAAUGAACCGUGAGGCUUAACCUUACAACGCCGAAG
rnacentral:rRNA from 169 species